rnacentral:lncRNA from 10 species
UUUUGAGGAAGUGAGCUGCCAUGUACUAGGCCACGUGGCAAGGGCCUGGUUGGGGACCUCCAGGGGUUGAGAGCAUCCUCUGGACAACAUGGAAAAAGAAAAUGAAAAUGGUGACCUCAGCCCUAUAGCUAGAAGGAAUUGAAUCCUGUCAACAACGAUACUCAUCACUCACUGCAGAUGUUACUUUAAGACAUUCUGGAGCAGCGUCAUGUGCAGGAGAAAAUAGUAUCAUCUCAGCCUUCUAUGAAAUCAAGGCAAUAU